rnacentral:lncRNA from 11 species
AUCCAGUUAGUAUUUUCUGUUAACAGUGAGCAGUAUGUCAUUAAUUUUAUGUUAUGUUACAGGAUAAAAUUUCGUUGAUGACAGGUAUAAGGCCAACUAAGCCUGCAUAUGCCUCUUUGUCAGUUGAAGAAGUUGGAAUUCUCCUUUUGCCUUAAGAGUCCUCAAGACUAUCUGAAGGCCAUCAACACCUUGCUGAUGAUGAAAUGGAAAUCUUCACCUUCUACAAUCAUCACCUCUCAAAUGACCCAUGAAAGAGUCUUUGGAGAUCAAAAGAUCUGCCUCUGCCCCCCACCUCUCAUUCCUCUUUGACUCAGAUACUGAUGGGACUUAGCACCCAUGUGGGAUAUGGAUAUGGCCCAAGCACUGAAUUACCUGAAGAGAAGAUGGUGUUGGGUUUCUUUCUACUUGGGCCCCUAGUAUCACUCACAACAUGGUUAGAAAAAGCCAUAAAACGUU